rnacentral:rRNA from 1 species
CAGCCGCCGCGGGAAAACGUAGGUGGCAAGCGUUGUCCGGAAUUAUUGGGCGUAAAGGGCUCGCAGGCGGUUUCUUAAGUCUGAUGUGAAAGCCCCCGACUCAACCGGGGAGGGUCAUUGGAAACUGGGAAACUUGAGUGCAGAAGAGGAGAGUGGAAUUCCACGUGUAGCGGUGAAAUGCGUAGAGAUGUGGAGGAACACCAGUGGCGAAGGCGACUCUCUGGUCUGUAACUGACGCUGAGGAGCGAAAGCGUGGGGAGCGAACAGGAUUAGAUACCCCUGUAGUCCCUGUCUCUUAUAC